GGAGAGGUGGCAGAGUGGUCGAUUGCGGCGGUCUCGAAAACCGUUGACCCUUUACGGGGUCCGGGAGUUCGAAUCUCCCCCUCUCCGCCA
rnacentral:tRNA from 1 species